CAGGGUAUGUUCCGCCUUCUUCUAACCGAAGUGGCCUCCACUGAGCAUGCUCUAUGUGUGAGCCUGCCAGCAGGUGCUAUACAUCAUUCUGUCCUCACACAGCCCUGUGGGUUGUGUAAAAGCCUCAACUUUCUAAUGAAGGAUGAUGAAACUCAGAGACCACACUGGGAAUGAGCGACGGACUGAGAGAGGCAGAGAAAGAAAAGAGGUCAGUUUUCAAGAUGCAUUGGCCCUGGAUCUCCCUCCAGAGAGCUGGGGAUGGAGGAUGGCUCAGAGCCAACUAAAAGAAGAUGCUCACACACUUCCCGAAUACAUCCUUAGAGGAGCAAUAGGCUCCCCACGGGCUGCCCUUUGGUCCUCUGGGUAAGAUUUUCUGUCAGUUCCAGGACAGCCCCUCACUCUGAGAAUCAGAAGUCUCCCCCUGAGACUCAGCCUCCUUAAGACAAGAACUCCUUCUCAACUUAAAAGAUGACACUUUGCCUCUAGAGACAUCAGCUCCAUCUGUGAAAUGGCCUCACUGAGCUGUCUUAAGUACAAGUGCAAGGCAGAAGCCCAAGAGCUGAGGGCUGGGGCUUGGGGUCAGCCUCCCCUCUAGACAAUGGGGCUGUGUAGUCCCACCCCAGUGGAACUGAUGCUGGAAAGGAGAAGGAGAGGCAGUCUCCCUGACAGAUUUUCCUUCUCCCGUGAUCCCCAUCUUGAGGAAUACCAGAGGCCACCCUGGCCGGAAGCUUGGAUUCCUCUUCUGUGUCCACUCCAUCACAAAGACCUGCUUGUUCCACGCCGGAGAUGAAUCUCCACACUGUCCUGCCCUCCAUGUACCUGAGGUCCUCUACCCCGCCCACCGCCAGCUUCUGCUGAGGUUUGAGUGAGCUCAGCUCUCCUGAGGUGUGACUGGGCUGGUCUUCACAAUACCAGGAUCUCCUCCAAAUGCCUCUCUGCUCCAUGACCCUGUAGUGGGGGGUGGGGGAGCAGCUUAUCAGAGCAGCUGUCUUUUGUGUGCUUCUCUAUAUGGUUCCAAUUUGAACUUGGCUACACUCUUCACAGAGGGUGGUAGAGCUGACUGAGACCCCAGGCCACCCACCCCACCCCAUGGAGAUUUCCAGCUAACCCUUGACAAAGAUGGAUGGCUAGCGAGCUGGCUAACCUCCUAGAGAAGGUUCCAAGAGGGAUCUGAGCCAGAUCCUUCACUUCAACUCAAUGCUACCCUGUGCGUCCAUUUUCCAUGACAGAGCUUGUGUGCACAUUACAGGAAAGGGGGUUUUGACUUCACCAAAGCCCCUGUAGUGGGCUCCAAUUCUCAGCUGAUUCUUCAAUCCCUCCGAGGCACUCUCAAAGGUCCUACCCAUCCAGACGGAUCUCAGCCUCUCUCCCUUGUUGUCACCUUGCAGAUAUUUAUAGCCUUUCCAUGUCCACUAGAGAGCAUAAUGGGCUUUUUAGGCUAAACCAAUUAAACUCUGUCCUGUAAGUCAUGUCUGCUGCAUGGCUUCAGUCGCCCUUCUCUGAACUUCUUCUAUCUUCAUUAUCUCUGGCCCUUGUGGCAAGGAGGGCCUGGAAGUUCACAUGCUGGCUAAGUGACUUCUGCCUUCCUUUCCAGCUGCCUGGUCCUUUUGCCCAUCAGCCCCCACCCUCCCCUGUGCCCCCUGGGUUGUACAGACACAGCCUAAACUUGAGCAAUGUUGACAAAACCAGGAAGCACAAUAGACUCUAGAGGGGGCCCUUGGUUUUCCUUCUUUUAAAAAUUAUUUAGCUUUUUCCCCCUCCAAUAUUAUGCAAAUCAUAGAUUAUGCACCAGCAGCAAACAGCCAAGCUUUUAUAAAAUACUGUGGGCUGAAGAGGGGAAGCUGCAGGCCACAGAUAUUAUCAUAUCUCAGAUGUGCACCAGGCUCUGAUGGGCUACUGGGAACAUUUCCCCCCAGUGUGCCUGUAUCUGCAAGGGACCCAUGCUUCAAGGCCAUGACCACAUAUUUCCAGCUCUUUCUACAUCAGUAGUGAAAUGGUUAAUGCUUCAAACAGAAAGGCAGCCUGUGUGAGCAGGAGGAUGCAGAUGGUGUUGCUGGCAGUCACAGUCACGAGGAAGACCAGGUCAACCUGGUAAUGUGACUCCUCGGCUCCUGUCCACUGGCUCAUUGUCGAGCUGAAGGAGACCCAUCCGUGGAUUUCACCAGCAUGCAGGGUUAAAUUCUUUCUGCACUUAGUCAUACUCAGUUUAAUUUACAUCUACCAUGGACCAUUGGCUUAAGACAAGAAACAUAAGGAACACUGAGGCAGAAUAUAAUAUCAGGUUCAUGAGGAACAUAAAACACAGAAUAAUUCUAGAUUUUUCCUAGCACUCUAUAAAACAGUGCUAAAAAGGGAAAAUACGGUGGCAAUUAGAGCCAAUUUAGCUUUUUUGUGGUUGUUUAUUAAGAAUAAAGAUGAUCCAACCCCCUAACAUUUUAAGACAUGCUGGCAAAUAGCAGUUACAAGCGUUUCUUUUAAUCUCAACAUUCAAUAGAAGAAAGUGCUUUACGUUUUUAAAAGAUGAGGUGAUUUUUCAAAACACAAAACUUUCAAUAGCUUUGAAUCUGAGGUUUUGGAAGCAAGUUUUUUUUUUUAAAUGCUGUAAUUUAUAAUUACAAUCUGCAUUUUAAAAUAAUUUUGGUCCUCAAAUAAAACAUAAUAUAUCAAAUUAGAUUUGUCAACAAAUGGCCUUUUUUUUCAUAAUUAACUUAGAGUAAAGUAAACAACAUUUAUCAUAAACUUAAUGAGGAAAAUGCCCAAAUUCCUCUUCAUAUAUUAUGGAUAUAAAAAUGGAUUAAAAUAAACUUUAUAAUAUACUUUUUAAUAACACUCUGAUAUAAAAUAAAAUUAUUGUAUUAAAAAACACUUUAUAUACAAAAUUAUUUUUAAAUUCAUGAACACUUCUUCAGAGCUUCCUGGUUUUAAUCAUCAUAGGCCCCAGGACAUAUUUGAUUCUUUGGAAGCCCGGUGCUUAGUUGAGGCUCAGUAGCCACACUGGCCUAAAAGUUGUGACUAAAAACUUAAUCUCAACCUUGACAGCUCCUUUUCCAACUCCCACAGUGUGAUGACUAGUUGUGUGUCAACUUGAUGCAAGCUGGAGUUACCUGAAAGGAGGGAACUUCAAUUGAGAAAAUGCCUCCAGAAGAUCCGGCUCUGAGGCAUUUUCUUAAUUAGUGAUUGCUGGGGGAGGGCCCAGCCGGUCAGUGGUGGGUGGGGCCAUUCCUGGGCUGCUGGUCCUGGCUUCUAUAAGAUAGCAGUUUGAGCAAGCCAUGGGGGGUGAGCCAGUAAGCAGCUCCCCCCUUUGUGGUAUCUGCAACAGCUCCUGCCUCCUGCCUCUUCCCUGCUUGAGUGCCUGUCCUGACUUACCUCAAUGAUGAGCUAUGAUGUAGAAGUAUAACUUGAAUAAACCCUUUCCUCCCCAGGUUUCUUUGGUCAAGUGUUUCACCACAGCAAUAGAAACCCUAGCUGGGACAGACAGUGAUAGGCAACUGUAUCUUAAUCCGUUCAUCCACACAUGGUGUCAAAAGUGAGAUAUAAAAGUUAAAAUUUCUGUGUUGAUAUUAAUGUUUAAGUUUUCCACAAGGAACAAUAACAUUUCCCAACAG
rnacentral:lncRNA from 1 species